rnacentral:rRNA from 1 species
UGUUGCAGUUAAAAAGCUCAUAGUUGAACCUUGGGAUGGGUCGCCCGGUCCGCCUUCGGUGAGCACCGGUCGGCUUGUCUCUUCUGUCGGCGAUACGCUCCUGGCCUUAACUGGCCGGGUCGUGCCUCUGGCGCAGUUACUUUGAAGAAAUUAGAGUGCUCAAAGCAAGCCUACGCUCUGUAUACAUUAGCAUGGGAUAAUAUCAUAGGAUUUCGAUCCUACUGUGUUGGCCUUCGGGAUCGGAGUAAUGAUUAACAGGGACAGUCGGUGUGAUAACCCGCCCUUUGGGAUAAAAUGGUCGAGAGAGCAAAAGUCAGAAUCCAGAGCCGAGCUUUUG